rnacentral:ncRNA from 2 species
UUCUUAUCAAGAGAGGUGGAGGGACUGGCCCUAUGAAACCCAACAACCGGCAUUCUCAUUCGAAUGUAACGGUGUUAAUUCCUGCAGAAAUGAAAUAUAUUUCUGGAAGAUAAGAA